rnacentral:rRNA from 1 species
GCUUACGGCCACCACCGCUGGUUCACGCCCCCGAUCUCGUUUGAUCUCGGAAGCUAAGAUAGGUUAGGCCUGGUUAGUACUUGGAUGGGAGACCGCCUGGGAAUACCAGGUGCUGUAAGCU